rnacentral:lncRNA from 1 species
AGAGCCCUGAGCCGGCCAAGAGCCCCAAGCCCAGCGGAGGUGCCAAGCCGCGCCGCUCCCUUUGUAAGUGAACGCGGAGGCAGUACCCAACUAAAUCCUGCCUACCUGUCGCAUCCCAUGUUGGACUGACAACUGUCCUAAUUUGGAUUAGCUAGAUGCGCAGGGUAACACUUCUCUCAUCUGUGCGUAUGCGUAUGUAUGUGUGUUCACUGCAUGUCUUUCUGCAAGGCAUUUUUGCGCUGGUCGGUGGCAAAGUCCACAGAGCUCUAGCCUUAGCUUUUCAUGCUUGACGUGCGUGGAUUUGCCAGUUCCAGUCAUUCGGCACACAGUGAAGGAUCAUGCGUUCGAGCCUCCUCAACCACCCCCGCCUUCCAUCCCCUCGCAUCUGUAUUGCAGUGGCAGCUGCCAAGGAACUUAGCCCCAAGCCCGAAGACAGCAAGAAGCAUGCUGAACGCCUCAAGCACGGCUCAAGCCCGAAGCCGAGCAAGGGUACCAAGCAUGGCCGCUCCCUGUGUAAGCGAGGGGCUUUGUAGCAGCUAGAGGCGCACCUAAAACUGCUUAUGUGUUCACGUUGCGGCCGCAUUUACACAAGCCUGAGCAGGGUGCGCACAUAUAUACAUAAUAGGUCAGGCAAUACUGGUAAAAGGACACACUGAUGCCCCCGGAGGUUCCGGGAAAAUCCUUCCAAUGGUGGAGGGUAAAAGUGCCCCUAGUCGAUGGACGGUGGUGACCUGGGAUAAAGUUGACCUGCAAGCUGAUCAGGAACGGAGUUAAGCCGCCGUUGCUCCGGCAGAUUCCGUUGGAUGCGGAUGGUGGAUGGUGAAUCUGAGCGAUCCACUGAGAAGUUGGCUUAGGUUACUGGAUGAGGGUGCCCCGAAAUACCGGGGAAAGAAGGGUCUGCCGGGUAGCGACCACAGGGUGAAGGUAUGACCCCCCUGUCCCAAACAUCAUAUAUACAGCAGCACCUACUCAAUGUGUCAGCCUUGUAAUAUGGCAGAACGGUAGGGCACGUACAUCUUACUCUUGUCGCAUGAGGCCAUGGAUUGCUGCGUCAACAUUUGCAUCUGGCGGUUUAGCCACCCGCCGCACAUUGACCUCACGUUUGUGCAUCACUACAACCGCAUUUCCCCUGCCUUGCCCGCCUUCCUUCCUCUCAAAUCUUCUUGCAGUGGAAGCUGCCAGCGCAUUGAGCCCCAAGCCCACAGCCAGCUCCAAGCCUGCCCAUAGCCCUGAGCC